rnacentral:rRNA from 1 species
GAUGAACGCUGGCGGCGUGCCUAAUACAUGCCAGUCGAGCGAACAGACGAGGAGCUUGCUCCUCUGACGUUAGCGGCGGACGGGUGAGUAACACGUGGAUAACCUACCUAUAAGACUGGGAUAACUUCGGGAAACCGGAGCUAAUACCGGAUAAUAUAUUGAACCGCAUGGUUCAAUAGUGAAAGACGGUUUUGCUGUCACUUAUAGAUGGAUCCGCGCCGCAUUAGCUAGUUGGUAAGGUAACGGCUUACCAAGGCGACGAUGCGUAGCCGACCUGAGAGGGUGAUCGGCCACACUGGAACUGAGACACGGUCCAGACUCCUACGGGAGGCAGCAGUAGGGAAUCUUCCGCAAUGGGCGAAAGCCUGACGGAGCAACGCCGCGUGAGUGAUGAAGGUCUUCGGAUCGUAAAACUCUAUUAUUAGGGAAGAACAAAUGUGUAAGUAACUAUGCACGUCUUGACGGUACCUAAUCAGAAAGCCACGGCUAACUACGU